UCCUUCCGCCUUGUUGUCUUCCUCCCUGAAGUUGUCCCGCGCAGCUCCUGUUUGCUGGUGUUCCCGGGUCACUGGGGUUCUACUCCGUGUUCGUAGAGGUUGGUGCGGGAGUGGAAGAGGGGCCCCACGGACGUCGGAGGACUGGGAGCCGGCGGGAGCCCCAUGUGGUGGGAGCAGAGACGUCCUGGGGUCUUGGCGGCGGAUGCUGACGUGCAGGUAUAAUUAUGGAGUCCUCUGUGUUUCCAAGAGCAAAGAGAAUGAAUACAUUUCCUAAAUGUGCUGUUACAGGUGUUGAUGUCAUUUGAGGAUGUGGCUGUGGACUUCACCUGUGAGGAGUGGCAAGUCCUGGAUGAUGCCCAGAGGAACCUGUACAGGGAAGUGAUGCAGGACACCUACAGAAGCCUGUUGUCCCUAGCUCCUGAAGCCAAGCUGUUGUCAUUCUUCAGAGGACCUGGCUGAGAAGUUUUGCGAAGUCCUACAAUAUUUCCCAUUAACAGGGUUCUGCAUCACCAAACCUGAGGUGAUCUGCAGAUUGGAGCAAGGAGCAGAGCCAUGGACAGAUGAAUCCCCAACACAGAGCUUCCCAGGCAGAGCAACACAGAGAGAGAGAGAGAAAGCACGAUCUUCCAUCUGUUCUUUCACUGCCUAAAUGCCUGCAGCAGCCAAGGCUGGGCCAUGGUGAAGCCAGGAGCCAGGAAUUCCAUGUGGAUCUCCUAUGUAGAUGACAGGGGCCUAGACACUGGAGAUGUCAUCAACUGCAUAAGAGAAUAUACAAACGGGAAAAAAAGCAUGAAUGUAUUGAAUGUGGGAAAGCUUAUCACCACAGAUGAGCCUUCAUCAUACAUUGGAGAUCUCACACAGGGGAAAGACCUUUUGAAUGUGAUUUUUGUGGGAAAGCCUUCUCCAGACAUUUCAACCUUAAGAAACAUCAGAAAAUGCACACAAGGGAAAACCGUCAUGAGUGUGCCAAGAGUUUGUGCAUGGAAGGAGACCUCACUUUCCAUCAGAGAACUCACACAGAGGAAUAACCUUAUAAAUGUGAUGAAUGUGGAAAAACGUUCUCCAAGAAGGGAGGCCUCACGUUCCAUUAGAGAACACACACAGGGGAACAGCCUUACAAAUGUGAUGAAUGUGGAAGAACCUUCACCAGGAAGGGAGACCUCAGUUUCCAUCAGCGAACUCACAUAGGGGAAAAAGCUUAUGUGUGUAGUUGCUGUCAAAAGCCCUUUUACUGGAAGUCACAUCUCAUUGCACAUCAGAGAACUCACACAGGGGAGAAGCCUUAGGAGUGUAAUAUUUGUGGACAGGCCUUUUACCGAAAGACAGACAUCAAGCAUCACGGAACACAAAAGGGGGGAAGGCAUUAUGAAUGUAAUGAAUGUGGAAAAGUCUUUUGCAAGCAGAUACAUUUCAGGACACAUCAGAGGACUCACACAGGUGAGAAAACAUAGUAUGGAGAAUUGCUGCAAAUUCACCUCAACAGGCAUCAGUCCUCACAGAGGAAAAACCUUAUGGACAUAAUGACUGUGGAAGAGCUUUGCCGGGACCCACAUUUCAUCAAGUGUAGAGGAACUCACACAGGGGAAUUAGCCCUGGAUGGCUGAGACAGGCUAUGUGUUCUGGAAAUUCUACCUCUUGGACAUGCAUCCUAUGUUUUCAGCCUCCUUGUUCUGUGGGUAGGAUCAUGUCACUGAGCUCUGCUUUCACUUUUUUUAUUUGUGGAAAUAAACAUUCAGUCUGUAACACCUGCCUGUUUGAAAUAACAUCUUAAUCAUCAAUCAGAUUAUUUGGAACAGA